GUCUAUGUUUAUUAGAUAUUUCUUUCGAUAUUGCCAAGAAGUGUGUAUUCCCGCCACCUGUCACCUGGCCUGCUCGUGUUGCUACCCAGACCAGUGAUUGGCAAUUUUCCACGUGCACAGGGACGCACUGGAGCAUAAAGGGCACAGCAUUGCCCCGUGGAGGCAGAAAAGCAGCGCGCCAUGAGGUUCCUUGUUCUCCUGCUGCCUUCACCUGCUCCCGCUGACGGGAUCUGCACGCUCAUCUCAUAAUAACAUACAAUGCCCUCUCGGAUUCCACAAUAUUUACGAUUACUGCGUACAGUUCCGCACGCAGUCUGCCACGUGGCAAGAGAUGUACAACGAGUGUUUUAACGUCGGUGCUGACAUGGUCAAGCUCGAUGACGCAAACUUCAUGUACUACCUCGUCAACUUUAUCAAAGAAAAUGGACUGGAUGGUCACCAUUACUGGAUCGGCGCCACAGACAUUGAAGAGAAGGCGUC